GACAGAGGGUGCAAACGUUGUUCGGAGUUACUGGGCGUAAAACGCGUGUAGGCGGCUCUGUAAGUCGGGUGUGAAAUCCCACGGCUCAACCGUGGAAGUGCACUCGAAACUACAGGGCUAGAGUCCUGGAGAGGAAGGUGGAAUGCUUGGUGUAGAGGUGAAAUUCGUAGAUAUCAAGCGGAACACCGGUGGCGAAGGCGGCCUUCUGGACAGUGACUGACGCUGAGACGCGAAAGCGUGGGGAGCAAACAGG
rnacentral:rRNA from 1 species